AGGCACACAGAGGGGAAUUUAUCAUGACCAGCAUUUCAUACAGUUCCUGAGGAAACAUGAGCUGAAAUUACAGAAGAACAAGGAGAGGAGCAGCAGGUUCUGUAGUAGACCAUGAUACUGUGUGUGAGCGGGAAGGAGAACUCUCACUGACUGCUGGGUCUUGAUGUACAGGAGCAGGUGAAACAGCUGGGACAUGAAUACAGAUGGCAACCCUCCGAGAAUGAAGCAGAUUUCAGUAUUGAAUGUCACCCUGCAGCCAUGCCCGGUCAUCCCAAGUUAUCAGAUUUGUUGCAUUUACAGUAUUUCAUAGAGGCCUGCAGAAAAUCUUGCUGCAAAAAUAUUCCAAUA